UUCCAUGUUUGGUCUUCAGCAUGACUUUCUAUGAUCACCAAUGUUCAUCCUAACCCAUUUGUUCCUCUUUUAUCAUCUUAUCCUGCAUACCCUAAUUUGUCUCUAUGUGCUGUUUGUUGUCUUUCGUUACUUCGUCGUGGUCCAUUCUGCAAAGAAAGGAAAGUGUUUCCUUAACCCCCUUGGUGUUUACAGUUUAUCGGUAUAUUGCACAAAGCCAGUUCCUAAAGACACCUUCAUACCUGUCAUCUCAGCUGGAGAAUAAUAUUCCUUGUGUGAUCCCAGAAGAAGUUGAGCUUGAAUCUCUUGAUACGAAUGACAACCAGGUGCAACAAUGUUCCGAUGAGAC
rnacentral:lncRNA from 1 species